GCCUCUGUGGUCCAGUGGUUGAGCGUUGGUCUCAGGAUCCACAGGCCCCGGGUUCGAAUCCCGGUGGAGACA
rnacentral:tRNA from 1 species